CUGCAAGACCUACAAGUCUAGCAGGGACGCAAGUCGGCCAUAGAUCUCGGAUGGUGCCGUGUGGAAGGUCGCUAAACAGAUAAAGAAUUCUCUUGAUUGAACAACCUGAUUUCCUCAACCCCCGAGAGUUCGCAUUAGAGCAGAGGUCUGGCACCUUCGUGUCUGCUUCUCUGGGGCCGAAGGAAGU
rnacentral:rRNA from 13 species